rnacentral:ncRNA from 1 species
CACUAUGAGUUUGGAACCCUGAACAGACCGCCGGUGUUAAGCCGGAGGAAGGAGAGGAUGAGGCCAAGUCAUCAUGCCCCUUAUGCCCUGGGCGACACACGUGCUACAAUGGGCGGGACAAAGGGUCGCGAUCUCGCGAGGGUGAGCUAACUCCAAAAACCCGUCCUCAGUUCGGAUUGCAGGCUGCAACUCGCCUGCAUGAAGCAGGAAUCGCUAGUAAUCG